rnacentral:rRNA from 1 species
UACGAGGGGGGCGAGCGUUGUUCGGAAUUAUUGGGCGUAAAGGGUGCGUAGGCGGUUUGGUAAGUCUUAUGUGAAAUCUACAGGCUCAACUUGUAGUCUGCAUGAGAAACUGCCGGGAUUGAGUGUGGGAGAGGUGAGUGGAAUUCCUGGUGUAGCGGUGAAAUGCGUAGAUAUCAGGAGGAACACCUGUGGCGAAAGCGGCUCACUGGACCAUAACUGACGCUGAUGCACGAAAGCUAGGGGAGCAAACAGG